rnacentral:lncRNA from 1 species
ACACCCUGACCCAGGGCUGGCCGGGAGCCUUCGGGGCGACAGCUCCGAGGAUGGACGUAGGGGCCAGCUGCUGCCCCAGAGUCCUGCCCCCUGCAGCCCUGUGUGGAGCCCUGGGACUCCUGUGGGUGGGCCUCACCCUGCUGGGGACGGUCCAGCCACAGCGCCAGGGCCCCCAGAGGGGCCUGAACUUGCCUUUCCACAAGAUCUGUCUCCAGCCUGGCCUCAGAAAGGAGCGGGGACCCACCCUGCAAACGCUGGGCCAGGACCCCUGUCCCGGAGAAGCAGCCAGCUCAGAACCCCCUUGGAGGCCGGGAGGAAGUGGGGUUGGAAAAUGACGAGAUGGAGGCUACGCCGAGACCAAGCGCCAGGAGAAGGGACCCAGGCCAAGCUGCUCGGUCUCUGCUUCUCCCUCCUCUCACUCUAGCCCCUCCGUGAUUCUCUGCCUGGGCCGGCCACCCUCUGUCCUGAGGACGCUGGAGCCUGGCCCGGCCCUUGGCAGCCCCACCCUCACCGCCCAUCCCAGCCUCGCUGGUGCCCCCUCCACGUGGGAGGCUCAGCCACACCUGCCCCCACGACCCCAUCAGAAAUAAACAGUCUGUGCCA